CCCUCCCUCCGUCCCUUCUUCUUCCCUUCGUUUUCUCCGUUUGAUUUAAAUCAGGGCUAGAUCUUGACCUCUCUAUCUGUUUCUCUCCCUACUUCUGUUACUUUGUUUUAUGAUCACUUCUUCAACUUCAUUUUGAGUCAUAUUUUUUCCUUUUCCUUUUCACCUUUUUUUUGCUCCAGUGUUCUUGUUGAUUUCCAAGUUUUUUGUUGUUUAUUUUUUAUUUUAUUUCCAAUUUUUUUCUGGUUCUUUAUUCGUUAUUUUCCACUUCUUUUUUUUAAAAAGAAAUUACUCUAGAAAACCUCCUUUUUUUUUCCUGUUUCUCAAUUUGUUGUUCUUUAAUUUUUUUCCCCACUUGUAACUACAUCUAUAUAACCAAAAAAAAAUCAAGAAACCUCAAAACCAUGAAUUACCAACAAAAAAAGAGUAGCAGAGGUGUUGGUUUCGUGUGAUUUUUUUUCGCUCAUAAAUUUCUGGGUCUUACUGGUUUCUUAGAGGUGCAGCAUCAUCAAGAUUCACAUUCAAACAGAUGUACGGCAGCUAGCUAGCUAGAUAGAUAGACAGCAAUGUAUUUCUUUGAAGGUGAGAAUCUUGAUGAUGCUGCAUCAGCCAUAAAUGACUGCAUAUACAAACCUGAAAUAGUUGGAUCUAAGAUUUUCUGCUUCUAAACAAGGUAAAGCUGCUCAAAUCCUUAAUUACCAUAUUUGUUUGGCUUUUAUUACUUGUACCUAGCUAAUAACUUGGGGGGUUCAUAUUAGUACGAUGGCCUUAAAGGAGUAGCACUACCGUAUGCAUAAAAUAAUUGAUCCAUCUUGGCUUGUACAGGAGUCUAUUUGGAAUUCCCAUUUGUUGUUAACACGCUGUGAGACGUACAGGAACUAUCAUCUAUAUAGAUGUAAGAACGCUGAAAUUAGUCCUUCAUGUCAUAUAUAUUGGUUAUGAUCAUAGUACUGCUCUCAAAAACACCCUUUUGUGCUUGUGUUUAUGUAUUAGCUAGGUUAUUUCUGAAGACGAACUUGGUUCUUGUAGUUUAGGGUUUUGUUAAUUAAUUUGGUUAGGCAUAAAGGAAGUUAGAGCUUGAUGGAGAGUAUAUGAAAUAGUGGUGUGUAUGCUUGUUUGAUUAAUGAAUUCUUAGUAGUUGUGUUCUUGUGUCCCUCAACUAAUUAAUUCAUGAUUACCCUAAUUAAGAGCUUAGAAUUUCCAAUUUCAGUUUCCAUACAUACAUACAUAUCCAAGCUUGAUGAAGCAACUUGGCUACAAGUCAUGGUGGAGCUUCUUUAGCAUCUCCAUAUCACUGUUACAAUCAACAAACUAUUCAUUGCUCCAUGUGUGUGUGCUUCCUUGAUACAUAUGAAUAUUAAUUGCUCUUUGAUUUCCUCCAUGAUUCUAGAGUACUUUCCUUUACCACUAUUCCUUGUGGAUCAGUCAAAGGGAAAAACAAAUACAAUGCAUUUAUAUGACCUUAAAUUUUGCUUUUGAAAUAUUCUCUUAAUUAUAAUAUACUUGCUUUAUUCACCAUGAACAUGCAUGUCCAAGCAGCCUGCAGUACGUACAGAAAUCUCUUUUGGAUAUCGCAUAAAUAUCCUCUUGUUGUUUCCUCUAUUUUUGUCCGAAUCUGAACUAUUUCAUAAAUACUUUUUGAUUUGGGUAUCUUGCAGUCAUUUCCUAUAGAAUUCAACCUUCUCAUCUAUGGAGUCCUUCCAAAGGGAAUCUGUAAGGAAAUAUAUAUUGAGUUUCAAUGUGCAUGAAGAAUUUGGAAGAGCACAUUAUUAUUCAAUUCACACACUAGCCGUUAAGGACAUGUUUACAGUCAGACUUAAGCUGGAUGAAUGUCCCACAAGCAAAACAGACAAUAAAACAAGAGAGAGCCUUAGCUAGCUGUAACUCAGCAAGAUAAAAGAUCAUUAUUAUGCUUCUGCUAUGUGACUUGCAUUAUUUUUUCAACCUAUACACGUGAGUAAACAUGGGCUCAUGGCAAUACGAAUUGAUUACAACUUGGCUCAAUUAGUCUGUUAAUUAGGUAGGAGAUAUUCAGAUUUUUCCUUAAACAUUUUAUGAUCAUCUGUAUUAUGAUAUGCAUACAAGUAUUUCAUUAUAUUGCAGAAGGACUGCUACAAAGAGAAUCGCCUUAAUUCUUGGAGUUGCAUAAUGUUUUGAACUUGCGCUUGACAUUUUUUCCUCAAUGGGACCAGCUAUAAAUUAAGGCAAGCAAACUACUUAGCUACUGUAAUUUUGUUUUCUGGUACCAGCAGGUGUAAUUCCAGUUGGAUAUGACUUAGAGAGACCUAAAAGGGCAUUAAGGUGUCUGUGAUCAUCUACACACAGGUACCAGUCCCUGGAUCUGAAGAAGAAUCUUAAGCCAAGUCAUGUGGGGGCAAUUAGAGACAAAAGCUGUUGUGUCAAUUGACAAGUGAAGGAAAGAGUAGGAAAUCAUUCUUUCUUGUUAAGGUCCACAAGUACACAGAGUAGGGAAAGAAACAACAGUAUGGUGACCUAUGCGAUCAUAGCAAAUCAACUUGGUAAAAAUGCACUUGAACAUAAUGCAAUUUUGGAUGUGCAUGUCA